AUUGAACGCUGGCGGCAGGCCUAAGACCUGCAAGUCGAGCGGAACGGCAGACGAGUUAGUAAUGCCUAGGAAUCUGCCUGGUAGUCGGUGAUAACGUCCGGAAACGUGCGCUAAUAGCGCAUACUCUCAAAUGAGCCUAGGUCGGAUUAGCUAGUGUGUGGGGUAAAGGCCUACCAAGUCGACGAUACGACACUGGUCUGAGAGACGGAUCAGUCACGCUGGAAAUGAGACACGGGCCAGAAUCGUACGGGAGGCAGCCGUGGGGAAUAUUGGACAAUGGGCGAAAGCCUGAUCCAGCACUGCCGCGUGUGUGAGGAAGGUCUUCGGAUGGUAAAGCACUUAAAGUUGGGAGGCGUUACCAACAGAAUAAGAACCGGCUGACGUCGUGCCAGCAGCCGCGGUAAUUC
rnacentral:rRNA from 1 species